GACUCUCGACAACGGAUAUCUCGGCUCUCGUAUCAAUGAAGAACGUAGAGAAAUGCGAUAGGUGGUGUGAAUUGCAGAAUCCCAUAAACCAUCGUGUCUUUGGACGCAAGUUGCGCCCCAAGCCAUUAGACCGAGGGCAUAUCUUCCUGGGUGUCA
rnacentral:rRNA from 1 species